rnacentral:rRNA from 1 species
UGGGGAAUAUUCCGCAAUGGACGAAAGUCUGACGGAGCAACGCCGCGUGGAGGAUGAAGGGUCUAUGACUUGUAAACUCCUGUAAAGAAGGAAAAAAUUCCCAUUUGAUGGGAGAUGAUGGUACUUCUGGAGUAAGCCCCGGCUAACUACGUGCCAGCAGCCGCGGUAAUACGUAGGGGGCAAGCGUUGUCCGGAUUUACUGGGUGUAAAGGGUGCUCAGGCGGAUUUGCAAGUCAGAGGUGAAAUCUUACAGCUUAACUGUGAAACUGCCUUUGAUACUGCAAGCCUAGAGUAUGGAAGAGAGUGAUGGAAUAUCUGGUGUAGCAGUGAAAUGCGUAGAUAUCAGAUAGAACACCAAUGGCGAAGGCAGUCACUUGGUCCAUUACUGACGCUAAAGCACGAAAGCGUGGGUAGCAAACA